rnacentral:rRNA from 1 species
UACGGAGGGUGCGAGCGUUGUCCGGAAUCAUUGGGCGUAAAGGGCGCGUAGGUGGCCUGCUAAGCGUGCGGUGAAAGCCUGGAGCUCAACCCCGGGUCGGCCGUGCGAACUGGUGGGCUUGAGCACUGUAGAGGCAGGCGGAAUUCCGGGUGUAGCGGUGGAAUGCGUAGAGAUCCGGAAGAACACCGGUGGCGAAGGCGGCCUGCUGGGCAGUAGCUGACACUGAGGCGCGACAGCGUGGGGAGCAAACAGG